rnacentral:rRNA from 1 species
CUCGUGUUCUUCGGAGCAAGAGGGGGUGGCGGACGGGUGAGUAACACGUGGGAACCUACCUUGAGGUGAGGAAUACCGGCGAGAAAUCGCCGACAAGACCGCAUAGACUCUGGAGGCAGAGCAAAGCCGGAAGGCGCCACAAGAUGGGCCCGCGGCCGAUUAGCUAGCUGGUGGGGUAAGAGCUCACCAGGGCAUCGAUCGGUAGCUGGUCUGAGAGGACGAUCAGCCACACUGGGAUUGAGAACGGCCCAGACUCCUACGGGGGGCAGCAGUGAGGAAUUUUCCGCAAUGGAGGGAACUCUGACGGAGCAACGCCGCGUGCAGGAAGACGGCCUUCGGGUUGUAAACUGCUUUUCUGUGGGAAGAGAACGGACGGUACCACAGGAAGAAGCCCCGGCUAACUAUGUGCCAGCAGCCGCGGUAAUACGUAGGGGGCAAGCGUUGUCCGGAGUUACUGGGCGUAAAGGGCACGCAGGCGGUCGUGUAAGAGUGCGGGGACAGUGGGCGGCUUAACUGCCCAAGGGUCGCACAGACUGCGCGACUAGAGGACCAGAGAGGGACCUGGAAUUCCGGGUGGAGCGGUGAAAUGCGUAGAGAUCCGGAGGAACACCAAUGGCGAAGGCAGGGUUCUGGCUGGUACCUGACGCUCAUGUGCGAAAGCCAGGGGAGCGAACGGGAUUAGAUACCCCGGUAGUCCUGGCCGUAAACGAUGACCACCAGACGUGGGAGGUAUCGACCCCUUCCGUGUCGGANUUAACACGAUGAGUGGUCCGCCUGGGGAGUAC